rnacentral:lncRNA from 13 species
CUGCGUGGGCGAGCGUCCCUGCGUGAGCAACCCUUCGUGAGCCUCCGUGCAGGAGCGUCACUUCGUGAGCCUCCGUGCGGGAGCGUCCCUUCGUGUCUAUUGAUUAAUUAUUACGCCUUUCAAGCAUGAAUUAACACCUUAUGAUUAUUAUGCCAGCCCAGAAUAUUCAAUAUAAGCUCAGUUUCUACAGCCAAUUUGGUAGGAAUCAAAUCUGAGUUCGCCUCCAGCAGAUUCGGAGGGCACCAGGCCUUCCGCAAUGAUACUUUUGCCUUAUUGGAAGAAGUUUCAUAAUAAUUGCUGGCUCUCACCUAUGGCAACUCAGUUAUUUCCUUCAGAUUUUGACCUCAAGAAAUCCCAGGGCUGACUACACACUGUUUCUGCUAUUCUGAUGACCCAGCCUCACUGCACCAUAAAUACUGUUUUUGUAGAACUACCUGACUAUUGUAUGAGCUACAAACAAACCCUUGUGAAGAAUCUAGGUGAGAUAUAAACUAAGACAAAAGUUAAAUUAUCAAAUGCCACCAUUCCAGACUUUAUCUAAAUGUCUCAUGAAAGCACUACUUUCUAAUCCAGUCAACCAAACUCACUUUAUUUGAACUCAUUUUGAAGAUCUUAUUUUGGUAUAGUCCCUUGAAUACCCAUAUGUAGAGAACAGAAGAUAGGACUGUUACACAGAACAGGGGAAAAAUAAUCUGAAUUAUUUGUGUGGAAAGCUCUUUAAAUACCAUCCAGUUUGAAAAGAAUAUAAACUCAAUUUCUGACUCUAUCAAUGGAAGCAAGACUGCCUUUUUGCCUACAAACAACUGCAUAUGAAAAUUGAAAGAAUAUAAGAAACUUUAAAUAAUUUUAAUACUUGAAAAAGGCAUUUUUGAAUAUUCCCAUUGUAUGCAAACUAAUAAAAGUAAAUAUUUUGUUGCUAUAUUCUUAAUU